UACGGGGGGGGCAAGCGUUGUUCGGAAUUACUGGGCGUAAAGGGCUCGUAGGUGGCCAACUAAGUCAGACGUGAAAUCCCUCGGCUUAACCGGGGAACUGCGUCUGAUACUGGAUGGCUUGAGUUCGGGAGAGGGAUGCGGAAUUCCAGGUGUAGCGGUGAAAUGCGUAGAUAUCUGGAGGAACACCGGUGGCGAAGGCGGCAUCCUGGACCGAUACUGACGCUGAGGUGCGAAAGCGUGGGGAGCAAACAGG
rnacentral:rRNA from 1 species